rnacentral:rRNA from 1 species
AGGUAAGCUACUAAGAGCGAAUGGUGGAUGCCUUGACUGGUAAAGGCGAUGAAGGACGUACUAGACUGCGAUAAGCUACGGGGAGCUGUCAAGAAGCUUUGAUCCGUAGAUUUCCGAAUGGGGCAACCCAAUGUAUAGAGAUAUACAUUACCUAUAUAGGAGCGAACGAGGGGAAUUGAAACAUCUUAGUACCCUCAGGAAAAGAAAUCAAUAGAGAUUGCGUCAGUAGCGGCGAGCGAAAGCGCAAGAGGGCAAACCCAGUGCUUGCACUGGGGGUUGUAGGACUGCAAUGUGCAAGAGCUGAGUUUAGCAGAACAUUCUGGAAAGUAUAGCCAUAGAGGGUGAUAGUCCCGUAUGCGAAAAACAAAGCUUAGCUAGCAGUAUCCUGAGUAGGGCGGGACACGAGGAAUCCUGUCUGAAUCCGGGUCGACCACGAUCCAACCCUAAAUACUAAUACCAGAUCGAUAGUGCACAAGUACCGUGAGGGAAAGGUGAAAAGAACUGAGGUGAUCAGAGUGAAAUAGAACCUGAAACCAUUUGCUUACAAUCAUUCAGAGCACUAUGUAGCAAUACAGUGUGAUGGACUGCCUUUUGCAUAAUGAGCCUGCGAGUUGUGGUGUCUGGCAAGGUUAAGCAAACGCGAAGCCGUAGCGAAAGCGAGUCUGAAUAGGGCGCUUAGUCAGAUGCUGCAGACCCGAAACGAAGUGAUCUAUCCAUGAGCAAGUUGAAGCUAGUGUAAGAACUAGUGGAGGACUGAACCCAUAGGCGUUGAAAAGCCCCGGGAUGACUUGUGGAUAGGGGUGAAAGGCCAAUCAAACUUCGUGAUAGCUGGUUCUCUCCGAAAUAUAUUUAGGUAUAGCGUUGUGUCGUAAUAUAAGGGGGUAGAGCACUGAAUGGGCUAGGGCAUACACCAAUGUACCAAACCCUAUCAAACUCCGAAUACCUUAUAUGUAAUCACAGCAGUCAGGCGGCGAGUGAUAAAAUCCGUCGUCAAGAGGGAAACAACCCAGACUACCAGCUAAGGUCCCUAAAUCUUACUUAAGUGGAAAACGAUGUGAAGUUACUUAAACAACCAGGAGGUUGGCUUAGAAGCAGCCAUCCUUUAAAGAAAGCGUAAUAGCUCACUGGUCUAGUGAUUUUGCGCGGAAAAUAUAACGGGGCUAAAGUAAGUACCGAAGCUGUAGACUUGCACACAACUUAGAUUAUUUAAGUUUAGAAUAAGUAGUUUAAGUUGUGUGCAAGUGGUAGGAGAGCGUUCUAUUUGCGUCGAAGGUAUACCGGUAAGGAGUGCUGGAGCGAAUAGAAGUGAGCAUGCAGGCAUGAGUAGCGAUAAUUAAUGUGAGAAUCAUUAACGCCGUAAACCCAAGGUUUCCUACGCGAUGCUCGUCAUCGUAGGGUUAGUCGGGUCCUAAGUCGAGUCCGAAAGGGGUAGACGAUGGCAAAUUGGUUAAUAUUCCAAUACCAACAUUAGUGUGCGAUGGAAGGACGCUUAGGGCUAAGGGGGCUAGCGGAUGGAAGUGCUAGUCUAAGGUUGUAGGAGGUUAUACAG